AUCGCCUCUUCACACGAGUCGGGUUUUUUCUUUCUUUUAUUUUUAUCCUUCGAUCCUAUCCGAUUUAUUUCCAAUCGUUGUUACAUUCUCUCCUUACUCGACGUCUCUUAACGUUUGCGUGAAACGAAUUUCAAUCCCGUAAUAAUACGU